rnacentral:rRNA from 1 species
GAUGAACGCUGGCGGCGUGCCUAAUACAUGCAAGUCGAGCGAAUGGAUUAAGAGCUUGCUCUUAUGAAGUUAGCGGCGGACGGGUGAGUAACACGUGGGUAACCUGCCCAUAAGACUGGGAUAACUCCGGGAAACCGGGGCUAAUACCGGAUAACAUUUUGAACCGCAUGGUUCGAAAUUGAAAGGCGGCUUCGGCUGUCACUUACGGAUGGACCCGCGUCGCAUUAGCUAGUUGGUGAGGUAACGGCUCACCAAGGCAACGAUGCGUAGCCGACCUGAGAGGGUGAUCGGCCACACUGGGACAGAGACACGGCCCAGACUCCUACGGGAGGCAGCAGUAGGGAAUCUUCCGCAAUGGACGAAAGUCUGACGGAGCAACGCCGCGUGAGUGAUGAAGGCUUUCGGGUCGUAAAACUCUGUUGUUAGGGAAGAACAAGUGCUAGUUGAAUAAGCUGGCACCUUGACGGUACCUAACCAGAAAGCCACGGCUAACUACGUGCCAGCCGCCGCGGUAA